rnacentral:rRNA from 1 species
GAUCAUGGCUCAGAUUGAACGCUGGCGGCAGGCCUAACACAUGCAAGUCGAACGGUAACAGGAAGAAGCUUGCUCUUUGCUGACGAGUGGCGGACGGGUGAGUAAUGUCUGGGAAACUGCCUGAUGAGGGGGAUAACUACUGGAAACGGUAGCUAAUACCGCAUAACGUCGCAAGACCAAAGAGGGGGACCUUCGGGCCUCUUGCCAUCGGAUGUGCCCAGAUGGGAUUAGCUAGUAGGUGGGGUAACGGCUCACCUAGGCGACGAUCCCUAGCUGGUCUGAGAGGAUGACCAGCCACACUGGAACUGAGACACGGUCCAGACUCCUACGGGAGGCAGCAGUGGGGAAUAUUGCACAAUGGGCGCAAGCCUGAUGCAGCCAUGCCGCGUGUAUGAAGAAGGCCUUCGGGUUGUAAAGUACUUUCAGCGGGGAGGAAGGGAGUAAAGUUAAUACCUUUGCUCAUUGACGUUACCCGCAGAAGAAGCACCGGCUAACUCCGUG